UACGUAGGGGGCAAGCGUUAUCCGGAUUUACUGGGCGUAAAGCGCACGUAGGCGGCUUUGUAAGUUAGAGGUGAAAGCCCAGGGCUCAACCCUGGAAUUGCCUUUAAGACUGCAUCGCUUGAACAUCGGAGAGGUAAGUGGAAUUCCGAGUGUAGAGGUGAAAUUCGUAGAUAUUCGGAAGAACACCAGUGGCGAAGGCGACUUACUGGACGAUUGUUGACGCUGAGGUGCGAAAGCGUGGGGAGCAAACAGG
rnacentral:rRNA from 1 species